CACACACACACACACACACCGCACACACGCACGCACACACGUAUGCAAACACACGCACGUACGCACGCACAGUACUUGCAUAUACUUCAGUGGCAAACACGCAAUUUCGGCACUUUUCACAGAGAAUCCACAGAAAAUAACGAUAGAUGCAAGAUAUAUUCCACCAUGAAACAUGUAUAAUUCCACCAUAAAGAGUGAACGAUACACGAAAUGAUGUGUGUACGUGUAUGUAAUUUAAGUUACAUAAAUUCGUGCGAUGAUCGACUUCUAACACAAUUGCAUAUUAGGCGGAGUGGGAUCAGCAAGAAUCAAUCUGUGCAGACACAUAUAGUAGUUCAAAGGAGAGUUGUAAAUCAGAAUGGCAAGGAAAAGUCUUAAAAAAAUUGUUCAAUGGCGCAGAUGGUAUGAUAUUGUGAUCUAUACAAGUUACAAAUCAUAAAGCAUCCACAAGUAGUAGAUAUUUAAGGUAAAUAUAUACAUAGACACACAUACACAUAUACACUUACAUACAUACAUACACACAUACAUCCCUCUAUGAUGUGACUAGAGAAAGGAGACAUUGUCUUAGUAAAUGCAUAUGCGCAAUAGCGUGUGCAAAACACAAAUGUGUAAUUGACAAGUGGGGACAACUACAAACGUACCUAACUAAAAGAAAAAAAACGCAGAGAAUGAGAGAAAAAACAGAUAUAAAGAAAACAGAAAUGAAGAUACCGUCUGAUACAUGUAAGAAUAAGCAAAGUAAUAUAAAAUAAAUGAAAGAAGAAAAAAACAUGAUGCUCCUGCCACGCAGCGAGUCUUUAGACAGCUUUAAGAGAAUAAUUAUAAAUAAUAAAACAAUUAUUAAAUAAUUACAAUGAACUUUCUAUAUGUUGAAUCGUGUCUAGUGAGAGAAGUACUAUCGAAGUAAAGCAACACAAAAAAAUUAAUACUACUAUUGCCACACAUAAAUUAAUGCAUUUUAUAUGAACCACAUUGAUUAGUUAUCUCUUUCGAAUGUUCUUUUGUUUUUGCUUUCCUUUUCUUUUUAAUUUUCUUUGGUAAUAUACAUAAACAGAAAGAGUGGUUGUUACAGAGUAGCUUUUGGUGUUUCGUUUGCUGUUUUAUGAAUGAACGUUGCGCGGUUGGUGAAUGAAGGACCUCUUUGCCAGAAUGUUGAAAGUGUCUGCAAAGAGGCAUUGGAGUUUCAUUUACUUGGGUUUUCUAUAUAUUCGAUGAAGUUACACACACCGUCACUGUUAUCCAUUGUCACGCGCUAUUAUUGUCACGUAGAUUUUUCAUAGAUAUGAUACGUAGCGGGCGACAAUUAUGUGUAGCGAUAACACCGACAUUUGCGCCAUAAACAGGAUGCGAUCUACGUCUUUUGUUGCAGGACGACUCGUCAAUCGCGAUAUAAUCUUUCUCGCUGCGCGAAGUUAUGGUUCAUAAAAGGAAAAAAAAGUUAAGAAUGAAAAACCGCAUUGUUGUUGCGAUUAUUCUUAUUCUUAUUGUCAUUAUUAUUAUUAAUAUUACGAUUAUAUUGUCAUUAUUCUUAAUAUUAUGAUUAUUCUUAUAUUACCACUACGAUUAACUAUUAAUACUUAUUAUUAUCAAAGCGUUAGUUGUGUACUGGUGUCAUUAAUAGCGAAAAUUAUAUUGAAUCGGCCCGUUGAAACCGGCUGAUCUUUUUUCUUUCUUUUUUUUUUUUAGCAUUUAUUAUGACAAUGAUCAAUUGAGUUUGUGAAUUCAGUAGCUUUUUUCCGUUCAUCUCCCUAUUCCUAUUCUCAAUUUCGAUUUCAGUCAAAUCUCUCCUGUCUCUUCUCGUCUGUAUUAAAGUACACUUUCCUCCCCUCUCUUUGGACUUGCAUUUCGUUCAUUUUGAGUGAUCCGAAACUCGAGUUUGGAGUUGUGUUAUUUUAAAAGGCGAAACGAGACAACAGAAGCGAACCGAAAAGGAGAGAGAAAGAAAGAAGGAGAAAAACUGAAAAAGACAGAGAGAGAGAGAGAGAAAAGAGAUGGGAGAUCACAUGGCGCCAUCAGAAUUUUGACAGCAUUAAAUUAGAUGUUACUUAUUGUUAGAUUCAGCGAUUGAGCGGAUUGAGCAGAGUUAAUUAUCUUUCCGCGCGUUGCGUUUUCCUUUUUUUUUUUCCUCCUAGCGCGCUCUCGCGUGUAUGCAUGCGUGCGUGAAUGCUAAAUUCGUGUACAUGUGUAAGCUCGACAAUCGAAAACGAGCGAGCUACUCUUUGUAAGGCGAGACAAGAUAUUGAGAAAAAGGAAAGCCAAUCGCAAGGACGAUGCGCCGUUGAGCACGUUAAUACUGCGAUCCUCAGAGGAAAUUAUAUCGCAGGAGUAAUACGUGUCCUUGCGAAUUAUUACAUUUAAAUCAAUAGGUUAUGAGAAUCAAAGUUUGUUGUUGCAGAAAACAAUGAGAAUUGCUGCGAUUGGCCUUUGUAUGUCAUUUGAUUUAUUAAAGAUAACAAUCUGUUGCAAA